rnacentral:rRNA from 1 species
UACGGAGGGUGCAAGCGUUAUCCGGAUUCACUGGGUUUAAAGGGUGCGUAGGUGGGCAGGUAAGUCAGUGGUGAAAUCUCCGGGCUUAACUCGGAAACUGCCGUUGAUACUAUCUGUCUUGAAUAUCGUGGAGGUUAGCGGAAUAUGUCAUGUAGCGGUGAAAUGCUUAGAUAUGACAUAGAACACCAAUUGCGAAGGCAGCUCACUACACAAUCAUUGACUCUGAGGCACGAAAGCGUGGGGAUCAAACAGG